rnacentral:lncRNA from 1 species
GAUUUGGACGUUCUUUUUAUGUACGCUCACGGUUUGAUGUUAUCUAUAACUUUUAUUUAGAUACUUAAGGCUAAAAACUAUUGUAUUGAAACUUCGCGUUUUUCGUUUAAUCGGUGUUGCCGGUUUUGUCGGGAAUUUUAGAAUGGUUAUAACUUCCUCGUUAUAACUCGGAUUUUUGUGUUCUUUAUAUGUAUGAAAACCUUGUUACGAUAUUUACCACUUAGUAUACUCAAUUACGGUUUUAUAAAAGUUUAAAUUUUGACCUGAAUUUUGCUGUUGUUACAUUAUCCCCCCGUUAGAGAGAAUUUCGUCCCGAAAUUCGCAUUUUGACUGGGACUCCAAUUCUUGCGGGCAGGCGUGAGUGCUUCUGGUCGAUUUGUUCCUCUUGUUCCUUUAUGAAUCUAGAUCCUAACGUGCGUGUUUCAGCGGACCUUCAUUACUCCGCCUAUCACUUCGAUCGAUCGGGAUCGUGUGGUUUUGGGUUUAUUUACUUAUGUUCUUCUAAAUGUUAGCAUAUUCACUAGAUGCAUUAGGGCAGCUACGUUCUGAAGUUCAUGGUUGAAUUCACUCCUAGUUUCUGAGCUUGGAUUUGACUUGUUGUAUGUGUGGUAUUUCUAAAUGAUAUGUUGGGGGAUACUACGGGAACGUUGUAAAGAUAUAGUACUCCUCACAUGAGUACCUUGGGGUUUUGAAAAUAGAAAUGAAUUGGGGUUAGUGUCGAGUUUGUCGUGAUAAAUCGAUCGAGUUUCGUUAGUCGAUGGUUAAAGUGAAAGGGUCUUUUAUAAAACAUGGAACUGGUAUGGGUAGUAGGGGUCUCCUGCCAGGUGGAAAUCCAGCCAUUGUGUUUAUACGAGAAUAGGGAUAUAAGGAUUGUCUAGAACUAAGGCACAUAAGGUUGACAUCAACGUUAAACUAUCGUAUUCAUAAAAUACUCCUAUAGUAUUCUAAAUGUUAUGUUUGAUUCUAAAGUUUAUAAGUUUGGUAAGUUUUAAAUUUGUUGUCCAUUGCAGACACUCCUUGGCAUACGUUAGUCGGCUCUUGGACAAAUAUAGUUGAUCAGGCUAUAUUCUUCCCAGUUCCGAUUACAUGUCCCAAGGCAUACCUGCACUGCACAACUUAUUUAUAAUACUUCUAUAUUGUUUUAGUUAUGAUACUGACCAUGUUAUUAAUAUGAAAUGAAUGCAUGCCUACUUUACAAAACUAAAUAAAUUUAAUUUUAAAAGUAUGACUCUUACUCAGAGUGUUUUUGCCCAGUUGUGUUUAUAGUCGUAUACCAAAAUGGUUUUGAUAUACUUAAUUCACUAUAAACAAUGCUCUGAUACCAAUCUGUCACACCCCCAAACCAGAACGGCGGAAACGUUCGGGGGCGGAGGACGUCAUGUCAAAUAUCAUAACAAUUGAAUAGUAAAGAAAGUACACACCACCAUAAUAUAAAUAUAUUUGAAAAGUUUACAUGAUUGUAUAUGUUACAUGUUUGCAAAAGAAAUCAAAUACAAUAUGGUGAUCCAAAAUAUGUUACUAACGCCAGCGCGUUAGUCUUCAAAAGUAGUUGCUACCUGGUCUAGCGGUUUCCUGAGAAUACAAGUUAUUUCAAAGAAAAAGUGUCAACAUUUAAGUUGGUGAGUUCAUAAGUGGUGUUUUGAGAAAAUGUAUGCCAUUCGAAAGUGCUUGUAUGUUUUCCAGAAAAUCCCUUAUUUUCUAUUAGAUGUAUGAAAUGAGUUUGAAAGAUUGUUGUAUGUACUAUAUGUAUUUGAACCAGGAAAAUCCCUUAUUUUCCUAAAAGUGAAAUGCAGUCUCAAAUGACCAAGACUGUAAGCUAUAAGAAACUAUGACAUGCUCAAAAGAAUGAUGUUGUAAAUCGUUAUUGUACAAAAUGAAUGUAUUUGAACCAGGAAAAUCCCUUAUUUUCCUAAAAGUGAAGUGCAGUCUUAUUGUUAAGUAAAACUAGUUGUGGAAGUGUUUUAACCUGAGUUUUGAUCAUGCCGAUAAUACCCUAGAAUAUAGUUAUUACCCCUCGAGCAUGAUUGAGUUAAGUAUUACUACGUGCAUGAGUCAUUGUUUCCGCGUGUUGUGAGUUCCUCAUAACCAUACUAGACGCAGUACCUAAUGUUGACGUUUGUCACCCCAAAUGACGGACUGUAGCUAACAGUCAGGGUGCGGAGUUGUCAGCCCCGUAUAGAUCUAUACACACUUGUCACGCUCUCCCUCCAGGAGACUCUGGUUAUAGGUGAGGACUUUCGUUUGGUACAAACAAAGCCAUAUGCCAUCACAUGAUUGCUAACAACAAGUUCACGAGUAAUAUGAUGAAAAUCGUUCGUAUGAAAUGAUUUCGUUUUCUACCGUGUUACAAAAACGUGAUGAUGAGUUGAGUUUUCUUGUAAAAGCAUCAUGUUAUAUUUGAAAUGGUUACUCUUGAUAUGAUGUAGUAUGCAAACGUAUAAAUAAAACCUAUUUCUAUUUAUAAAACAUAUUGUAUCCCAAGAGGGUAAAGUUGUGUUGUGAGGUGUUUUGCAUGAUAAUAACUUCAUAAGAUAGUUUAAAACAACAGUAUGAAAAGUAUAUAAAAAGAUCGAUGUUUCACACGAUUUUAGUUGUGUGUUUACUUGUAUUCCCCCCCUUAAAAGUGUUUCAAAAGCGUUUAAAAAGCAUUUAAAGUGUGGUUGUAGGGGUAUGAACUCACUUGAUUGAAGUGGUUGAUUUGAAGUAGUCGAGAGGAGAAUCGAGCAGAACUUCGACAGGAAGAGUUGAAAACGCGGGAAAAUAUCGGGAUUCUCGGGAAUCUCGGGAAUCUCGAGAACACAAAACCUUCCUUCGGGACUUGAAGGUGAAAACCGGGGCUUUGGGAGGGUCUCGGGGGCUUAAACGCAGAGUUUCGGCGCGAGAAAGAAAGGAACUGAACAAUGGAACUCGGAGCCCUUGAAAUCUACUUAUAGGGGCAUUUUUGGGGUGUGCCACGUCGUGGAAAGUGAUGGCCACGUCGUGGGGAGUCAAACCUAUCCUCUUCCAUUGAUUGGACGCCCUCAGUCACUUGCCGGGUCGCGGCAAGCUUGUGCCACGUCGUGGGGCCUGACAGCCUCGGAUUUUGGACCCCGAACUUGUAAAAUCCAUAACUUUCGCAUACGAGCUCCGUUUUCGACGUUCUUUAUAUGCACGCGUAGCUAAAAAUAUGAUCUACAACUCUCGUUUAGACUUCAUCGGCAAAUUUUGACUUUAUUUUUAAUUAUUUAUUUUUAACGGGCCGGGACACGAAAAGUCCGUUAAAAUUCCAUAACUUCUUCAUCCGAUGUCCGUUUUCGUCAGACUUUUCGCCGUUGCGCUACUAAUGUUGAGACCUUCGAUUCUCAUUUAGGUUGUUUUGGUCAAAAGUAUCUCGAGCUCUAUUUCGAGUUUUUAGCUGUCUACUGCUAUACCCGAACCUUGGAAAAAUCAUAACUUCCUCAUACGAAGUCAGAUUUGGACGUUCUUUUUAUGUACGCUCACGGUUUGAUGUUAUCUAUAACUUUUAUUUAGAUACUUAAGGCUAAAAACUAUUGUAUUGAAACUUCGCGUUUUUCGUUUAAUCGGUGUUGCCGGUUUUGUCGGGAAUUUUAGAAUGGUUAUAACUUCCUCGUUAUAACUCGGAUUUUUGUGUUCUUUAUAUGUAUGAAAACCUUGUUACAAUAUUUACCACUUAGUAUAAUCAAUUACGGUUUUAUAAAAGUUGAAUUUUUACCUGAAUUUUGCUGUUGUUACAUUAUCCCCCCGUUAGAGAGAAUUUCGUCCCGAAAUUCGCAUUUUGACUGGGACUCCAAUUCUUGCGGGCAGGCGUGAGUGCUUCUGGUCGAUUUGUUCCUCUUGUUCCUUUAUGAAUCUAGAUCCUAACGUGCGUGUUUCAGCGGACCUUCAUUACUCCGCCUAUCACUUCGAUCGAUCGGGAUCGUGUGGUUUUGGGUUUAUUUACUUAUGUUCUUCUAAAUGUUAGCAUAUUCACUCGAUGCAUUAGGGCAGCUACGUUCUGAAGUUCAUGGUUGAAUUCACUCCUAGUUUCUGAGCUUGGAUUUGACUUGUUGUAUGUGUGGUAUUUCUAAAUGAUAUGUUGGGGGAUACUACGGGAACGUUGUAAAGAUAUAGUACUCCUCACAUGAGUACCUUGGGGUUUUGAAAAUAGAAAUGAAUUGGGGUUAGUGUCGAGUUUGUCGUGAUAAAUCGAUCGAGUUUCGUUAGUCGAUGGUUAAAGUGAAAGGGUCUUUUAUAAAACAUGGAACUGGUAUGGGUAGUAGGGGUCUCCUGCUAGGUGGAAAUCCAGCCAUUGUGUUUAUACGAGAAUAGGGAGAUAAGGAUUGUCUAGAACUAAGGCACAUAAGGUUGACAUCAAAGUUAAACUAUCGUAUGCAUAAAAUACUCCUAUAGUAUUCUAAAUGUUAUGUUUGAUUCUAAAGUUUAUAAGUUUGGUAAGUUUUAAAUUUGUUGUCCAUUGCAGACACUCCUUGGCAUACGUUAGUCGGCUCUUGGACAAAUAUAGUUGAUCAGGCUAUAUUCUUCCCAGUUCCGAUUACAUGUCCCAAGGCAUACCUGCACUGCACAACUUAUUUAUAAUACUUCUAUAUUGUUUUAGUUAUGAUACUGACCAUGUUAUUAAUAUGAAAUGAAUGCAUGCCUACUUUACAAAACUAAAUAAAUUUAAUUUUAAAAGUAUGACUCUUACUCAGAGUGUUUUUGCCCAGUUGUGUUUAUAGUCGUAUACCAAAAUGGUUUUGAUAUACUUAAUUCACUAUAAACAAUGCUCUGAUACCAAUCUGUCACACCCCCAAACCAGAACGGCGGAAACGUUCGGGGGCGGAGGACGUCAUGUCAAAUAUCAUAACAAUUGAAUAGUAAAGAAAGUACACACCACCAUAAUAUAAAUAUAUUUGAAAAGUUUACAUGAUUGUAUAUGUUACAUGUUUGCAAAAGAAAUCAAAUACAAUAUGGUGAUCCAAAAUAUGUUACUAACGCCAGCGCGUUAGUCUUCAAAAGUAGUUGCUACCUGGUCUAGCGGUUUCCUGAGAAUACAAGUUAUUUCAAAGAAAAAGUGUCAACAUUUAAGUUGGUGAGUUCAUAAGUGGUGUUUUGAGAAAAUGUAUGCCAUUCGAAAGUGCUUGUAUGUUUUC